rnacentral:lncRNA from 13 species
UAAGCCGCGGCCAUUGUUGAGCAAGGGGAACUACUACUUCAAGGUCUCAGAGCAAGUGAACGCUAUUUAGCGCGCACCGCUAACUAAGCUAGCCGUUUCACUCAACCCCCUUUUGACCUUCCUCCUUUUCCGCAGCAACCAGUCAACAGCAUCAAUGUAACAGUAUAACUUUAGACCGUCCCCUCGCCCAUACCUGGGCGCGAACCAGGGACCCUCUGCACAAAUCAACAAUAGUCACCCACGAAGCAUCGUUACCCAGCCGUUUCACAUCCGCUACAUACAUACAUUAUUGUUUGUAGAGUUUCCUAUUGGUCGAUUCCAGUUGCGGCCGGAGCCGUUUAUGAUGAGGCAGGACAAUCAUUUUUUUCAUGAGCAUGACCUUAUUUCUAUUACAGCAUGAUGGAUGACUGUCAUUCAUAUUCCAUUCAGUUCAAUGUAACACAUCGAUAGGUUUUCCCUAUACCCAUCAUGAGUUUGCUACAAACUAGCCUAUGAAUUAAAGUUUACAAUGUAGGUGCACACAGGUUGGGAGAAAAAAUGUAGAUGACAGACUAUAUCCUGAUGACAGAUCCUCAACACAAAACUUGCAGAACAAUACGAAUCUUUUGUGAAAUUCACACAAGACCAGAUCAUGCGAAGAUACGGCGCAAGGCCUGCUAGUUCUUUUCUCACAAGAUGGCUGCUCUUCUACUGCCCCUUCCUCCAAUACAUUUGUGCAUUUUGGACAGACAGUGGCAGUGGCAUGGACAGACAGUGGCACAUUCAAUACCGCCUUGCACACUCAUGCCUGCAUCUAGCUUAUCCAGGGUGUAAUCAUUAGUCCAACAGUUAGUCUAAAAUUCAGAUAUUUUUUAUCCCUGUGUCGUUUGCUUCCGUUUAAUAAACGUUUUGCAACAGAUUCGGCGGAAUGAAUACUCUGAUCACGCAUAAACACAGUUCACUUUCAUAGCAACCACAUUGCAUUCCUUCUCUCCUCAAUGCACUCUCCUCCUCUCACCUUUUCCCUUCGUUUGUGGACUUCAAUGAACAACACAUCAGCUGUAUGUGACCAGGCGAAAAAACCUUUCCAAGAAGAGUUCCGGUGUUGUGUUGGAUAGUCAUAGCCAGCUAGCUAACAUAGCAUACCUCUGUUUGAGCCAGGUGUUCGAGUAACUAAACUAGCCAGCUGCAUUUGCUAGCUAAGUAAGUGAAACUGAAAGUGAAAAAAUAUUAAAAUCUCUCUCUCUCUCUCUCUUGCUUCUUCAUUUUUGAAGAAAUGAAUUUGUUGAAAACAGUUCAACUAUUGUCUUUCUCUCUCUUUUAGUCAACUACUCACCACAUUUUAUACACUGCAGUGCUAGCUAGCUGUAGCUUAUACUAUCAGUACUAAAUUCAUUAUCUGACCCUUUGAUAGGGUGGAUAACAUGUCAGUUCAUGCUGCAAGAACUCUGAUAGGUUGGAGUACAUCCUCCGGAAGUUGUCAUAAUUACUGUGUAAGUCUAUGGAAAGGGGUGAGAACCAAGAGCCUCCUAGGUUUUGUAUUGAAGUCAAUG